UGCCACUCCGUUCAGUUAAUUACACUUUC
rnacentral:piRNA from 1 species